UUAUCUAGGAUGUUGUCCACUAAGCUAAUGAUGGGGAUUGUAGCACUACCCUGCACACAGACAUGGAAUGGAUUUGCCUAGUCCAUUAUCAGAAGAGUGACCAGGACUGUUCGUCCUGUCAGAGAAGUUUCUCGAGAAGCAUUACAAGAGACUUGUAUGAAUGGGCAGAAGAAUUUUAUUUAACUGACCACCCCAUCAUUGCCUGCUGUUGGAGACUGAACACUUUAUUGAAAAUUGCUGGAGUGUAGCAAUCAGUGGGUGUCCUUAUUUGCCCUGAGAAGAGUCAGAGAAGUAUUCAUUUUUAUUGCAAAAAGUUUAGUUCAUGUAAUGAGCAUGAACACACAUUUUACAGUUAUCUCCCUUAGACUAUGUAAAUUAUAAUACAGCACUUGCUAAUGAUGUUAUUUUACAUGUUAAUGUUGAUUGAAUGUUGUCAAUUUGGUUUGUAGUCAAAGAUAUGAGUUAUAACUGCCUGUAUUGUACCAGUUUACAUACAGUUACCUUCAGAAUUAACAGUAGAUUACAUGUACCUGACUCCCCAGGUUACCUGAGUGAUUAUUGCUGUUGGUCUGCAUCCAUCACUGUGUUUCGUCUGCCGUGCAUUACCAGUAUUGAACAUGUUAUAUACCUGUCUUUAGAUGGGACGUAUUAACUUAAGCUCCCUGGGCCUCAUGAGAUGGUGACACCCUGCAGUAGGAGCAGUUCCUACCGAUAUCUCUUAAAAGCAGACAGAGGUUCUCAUAGCAUCUGAUCCAUUUCUGGAGACAGACUUUUGUAUGGAGCUGGGUAGCAGUUACUUAGAUGUCCAGCUUAUUGAUGAGGAUAAUUUCCCUGAGACUCUAACAUUUUGUAGGACUUGGAUAGCUCUAUUGCUGUAGAAAAUGUCAGGUUUGUUAAUGAAAUUAUGUAAAAUGUUUUAUGCCUCAUUCAUGCCAUGGCUGGGGCAUAUAGUAUUAACCCUUUUUAGCUCACAUGAGCUGAAAGCUAAAGUGGGCUAUUCUGAUCACAUUUUGUCCAGCAUCAGUCUUUUCGUCUCUUCAUGCACUUUUAACAUUUUCGACUUCUUCUUAAGCACCACAGGGCUAACAUCACUCAGCCAAACUUGCCUCAAACCAUGCUUGGGUAAAGAGGAUUCAAGUUUGUGCAAAAUGGAGGACCAUGCUUCAUCCAAAGGGGAGUACCCCCGCGGUGGUCUAGAAGUUAGAGUGCACGCCCCACAUGCGGAAGGCCGGGGUUCAAAUCCUGGCCACGACAGACCUAAGUCGUUAAAACAGGUAGUGACAGUUCCAUCGUCAAACGUUCAGCAUCAGGUGUGAAUGUCACGGGUCCUCGGAGAUGACCUUAAAAACGGUAGGUAUGGCACGCUAAAUUUAAAUGUUAAACAAGAUACAAUCAAUCAUUUGAACAAACAUGAAUUCCCUUUACCUAAGGAUGAAUGGUACCAGUUUUGAUUGGAAUAGGCCAAGUGGUUGUG